rnacentral:tRNA from 1 species
GUAGGUAGAGCUUAGUGGUAGAGCGCCUGCAAAGCAUGCACGAGGUCCUGGGUUCAAUCCCCAGUGCCCUCA